CUUUUCCUCUGGACAGGUCUUGAUAAAUCUCCCCCACUGUGUCUGAAUGGACUCCAAAUCUUUGGGGUUGAAAUCAUGUACCGGAUUUGCCGAGCGCUCCGGUCUGUGCGGUGCCAACAGCUGUGGUGCAAUGUGUGUGUGGGCACCAUAUAUCUCUGUCACAACCUUCACAUCAGCCCCAGCAGGUAGAGCUCCCACUUCUGAGACCUUCACCUAUUGGAAAGACACCUGUUCUACCAGAUGAGACAGACACAGCUGCACAUCCAGAUGAGAAGGAAUGAAGAGAUGGCUCAGAGCAAAACUAUUUACAUCCUAUCCCCGGGCGGCGUAAAUACACCCAGCUCCAUUACGGCGAGAUGUAAGCAUGAGCAGAAGAUUCCAGCAGACAGCGGGUUAAAUGCCGUUCAUUGUUAUUGUGCGAGAUGUUUAUUUCACUGUUUGCUUUUUACGUGAUCCUUGAGCUGCUGCGCGGUAUACACUUUAUGUCUCAUUUUCAGACUAUUAAAGAUUGUUCUAUAGACUUCAAAGACGUGUCAAUAAAGAAGGGGGCCUGAAAGGACCGCCACCAGUUAAACGCAAACUCA